rnacentral:tRNA from 1 species
GGCGCGUUAGCAGAAUGGCCAUGCAGCGGACUGCAAAUCCGCUAAUCCCGGUUCGAUUCCGGGACGCGCCUCCA